rnacentral:rRNA from 1 species
UACGUAGGGGGCGAGCGUUGUCCGGAUUUAUUGGGCGUAAAGAGCGUGUAGGCGGUUCGGUAAGUCUGUCGUGAAAUCCUGAGGCUCAACCUCGGGCGUGCGAUGGAUACUGCCGGGCUAGAGGGUGGUAGAGGCGAGUGGAAUUCCCGGUGUAGCGGUGAAAUGCGCAGAUGUCGGGAGGAACACCAGUAGCGAAGGCGGCUCGCUGGGCCACACCUGACGCUGAGACGCGAAAGCUAGGGGAGCGAACAGG